rnacentral:rRNA from 1 species
CACCGCGGUUAUACGAGGGACCCAAGUUGAUAAAUAUCGGCGUAAAGUGUGGUUAGGGGUAUAAUCAAACUAAAGCCGAACGCCCCCCGCACUGUUAUACGUUUGCUGGGGGUAAGAAGCCCACUUACGAAAGUAGCUUUAUUUUACCUGAACCCACGAAAGCUGAGGGA